rnacentral:ncRNA from 1 species
CCUAGUCUCAACCAUAAACGAUGCCGACCAGGGAUCGGCGGAUGUUGCUUAUAGGACUCCGCCGGCACCUUAUGAGAAAUCAAAGUCUUUGGGUUCCGGGGGGAGUAUGGUCGCAAGGCUGAGUGUUAAAGGAAUUGACGGAAGGGCACCACCAGGCGUGGAGCCUGCGGCUUAAUUUGACUCAACACGGGGAAACUUACCAGGUCCAGACAUAGCAAGGAUUGACAGACUGAGAGCUCUUUCUUGAUUCUAUGGGUGGUGGUGCCUGGCCGUUCUUAGUUGG